UCGCCGAAUAUACAUUACAAGUUUAGAUCUAUUUUAAAAGUAAAAUUUUGAAUUCAUUGAAUGACCUCGGAUGGAGAUAUUAAGAGGCAUAAAACUUUGUAGAUAAUGCAUAUUGGAAUAACAUGGUACCAGUAGACACUAUGAGAUGUAAAGGUGUGUUGGUGAGAUAUUUCUUGUGGACAGUGAGGUCAUGACAUCAAACGACAGCCACAUGUGUAACUCAAAAAAAAAAAAUCUUGGAUUGGUGGCUUAUCUCUCUCCUAGACGAGGGUUAGCUAUGGGUUCAUUGUUGAGGUCGAGAUCAAUCUGAAUACAUGUUAUUUAGUUAUUUAGUGCAUAUAUAUUAAAUCAUGUUAAUAACUUUUCUAUGGAAAAGUACUCUUACAGAGAUUAGCAAGAAUGUACGAAAAUUCCAAAACAGCGGAUGGACAGACAUGAAGCGUCUAUAUACAAC
rnacentral:lncRNA from 1 species